rnacentral:rRNA from 1 species
UAAGACGAAGGGGGCAAGCGUUGUUCGGAAUUACUGGGCGUAAAGCGUGUGUAGGUGGUUGCCAUAGUCAGGUGUGAAAGCCUUGAGCUCAACUCAAGAAAGGCACUUGAUACUGGGCAGCUAGAGGACCGGAGAGGAUAGUGGAAUUCCCAGUGUAGUGGUGAAAUACGUAGAGAUUGGGAAGAACACCAGUGGCGAAGGCGGCUAUCUGGACGGUUUCUGACACUAAGACACGAAAGCGUGGGGAGCAAACAGGAUUAGAUACCCUGGUAGUCCACGCCGUAAACGAUGGGUGCUAGACGUUGGCGAGCUUGCUCGUCAGUGUCGCAGCUAACGCGUUAAGCACCCCGCCUGGGGAGUACGGCCGCAAGGUUG